GCUCCUUCUGGGAGAACAACCCUGUCAGUGAGUCAGUCAGUCAGUCAGUGAGUCAGUCAGUGGGUUUGUAGCUAUAUAUAAUAUAAUAACUAGAUGUCGCGUGGUUCGCUCGCAGCAAGCUGCUCGCGUGUCUUGUUUUCCCGCCAUUUUUUUACCGCGAUAGAAUUUGACCAAGACUUGAAUAGGUCUCGUGAAAUCAAAAAAAGUUCUAGGUGCUAUAGUUUUGCCAGGCCGUAGAGUGACCCCUGAUGCGGAGCAGUUUUCCAAGAUGACGUUCCGAUCACACCCCAAUACAUCAUUUUUACCUCGUGAGACAUUUUCUGGAAAAACAAAAAUUUGUAUGGCGGCCAUCUUGUUUUUCGGCCAUUUUGUUUUUUUUUCACU